GAAAUGCGAUAAUUAAUGUGAAUUGCAGAAUUCAGUGAAUCAUCGAGUCUUUGAACGCACAUUGCGCCCCCUGGUAUUCCGGGGGGCAUGCCUGUCCGAGCGUCAUUGCUGCCCUCAAGCACGGCUUGUGUGUUGGGCUUCCGUCCCUGGCAACGGGGACGGGCCCAAAAGGCAGUGGCGGCACCAUGUCUCGUCCUCGAGCGUAUGGGGCUUUGUCACCCGCUCCCGUAGGUCCAGCUGGCAGCUAGCCUCGCAACCAAUCUUUUUAACCAGGUUGACCUCGGAUCAGGUAGGGAUACCCGCUGAACUUAAGC
rnacentral:misc_RNA from 1 species